rnacentral:rRNA from 1 species
UACGUAGGGGGGAAGCGUUGUCCGGAAUCAUUGGGCGUAAAGAGCGUGUAGGCGGCUCGAUAAGUCCGCUCUGAAAGCCCGGGGCUCAACCCCGGGAGGCGGGCGGGUACUGUCGAGCUAGAGUCCGGAAGAGGCGAGUGGAAUUCCUGGUGUAGCGGUGAAAUGCGCAGAUAUCAGGAGGAACACCAAUGGCGAAGGCAGCUCGCUGGGACGGUACUGACGCUGAGACGCGAAAGCGUGGGGAGCAAACAGG